UUCCGUAGGUGAACCUGCGGAAGGAUCAUUAAUGAAACUUCAAAGUCGGCUUGUUCCGUUCUGUGCUGGUGGGAGACCACAUUGUGCACGUCCGGUAUGGGUCGCAAAUCCACACACACCUGUGCAUCUUAUGACUCUGAGUACCACUUUGCAUGGCCCCUCACCGGGCCUGGUAUUCGAGUAACUUUACACACUCUUGAAUGUAAUGGAAUGUCUAUUGUGCAUAAUGUACAACUAAAAACAACUUUCAACAACGGAUCUCUUGGCUCUCGCAUCGAUGAAGAACGCAGCGAAAUGCGAUAAGUAAUGUGAAUUGCAGAAUUUAGUGAAUCAUCGAAUCUUUGAACGCACCUUGCACCCUUUGGUAUUCCGAAGGGUACACCCGUUUGAGUGUCAUUGUAAUCUCACCUCUUUGACUGUUUUUAUGGUUGACCUGUGUGGACUUGGAUGCUGCCGUGUGACAAACGGCUCGUCUGAAAUGCCUGAGUGUACCCUGCUUUGCAGGCGUAUUCGGUGUGAUACAUCUUCACCGGAGUUUCGACUUUCGAGUCGGCGCUUGUAUUGUUUUUAGGCUCUAUGCUUUCGAACCGUCCCUAACAAGGACAAAAACUACUCUGACAAUUUGACCUCAAAUCGGGUGGGACUACCCGCUGAACUUAAGCAUAUCAAUAAGCGGAGGAAAAGAAACUAACAAGGAUUCCCCUAGUAACGGCGAGUGAAGAGGGAAAAGCUCAAAUUUUGAAUCUGGUGUCUUUGGCGCCCGAGUUGUAAUCUAGAGAAGUGUUUUCCGCUUUGGACCGUGUACAAGUUCCCUGGAACGGGGCGUCAUAGAGGGUGAGAAUCCCGUAUAUGGCACGGACUACCAAUGCUCUGUGAUACACUCUCAACGAGUCGAGUUGUUUGGGAAUGCAGCUCAAAAUGGGUGGUAAAUUCCAUCUAAAGCUAAAUAUUGGCGAGAGACCGAUAGCGAACAAGUACUGUGAGGGAAAGAUGAAAAGCACUUUGGAAAGAGAGUGAAACAGUACGUGAAAUUGUUGAAAGGGAAGCGUUUGAAGUCAGUCAUAUCUGGCGGGAUUCAGCCUGGCUUUUGCCUGGUGUACUUUCCGUCCGAUGGGUCAGCAUCAAUUUUGACCGAGGGAAAAAGACAUUGGGAAUGUGGCUGUCUUCGGGCAGUGUUAUAGCCCG
rnacentral:rRNA from 1 species